AAAACACGGACGAACGCUGGCGGCGUGCUUAACACAUGCAAGUCGAACGGGCUGCCUGGUUUUCGGAUCGGGUGGUGAGUGGCGAACGGGUGAGUAACACGUGAGUAACCUGCCCCUCUCUUUGGGAUAACGUCGGGAAAUCGGCGCUAAUACCGGGUAUUCUGGCUUCCUCGCAUGGGGUUGUUGGGAAAGGUUUUUUCUGGUGGGGGAUGGGCUCGCGGCCUAUCAGCUUGUUGGUGGGGUGAUGGCCUACCAAGGCGGUGACGGGUAGCCGGCCUGAGAGGGUGUCCGGCCACACUGGGACUGAGACACGGCCCAGACUCCUACGGGAGGCAGCAGUGGGGAAUAUUGCACAAUGGGCGGAAGCCUGAUGCAGCGACGCCGCGUGGGGGAUGACGGCCUUCGGGUUGUAAACCUCUUUCAGUGCAGAACAAGGCUCUUUGUGGGUUGAGGGUAUGCGCAGAAGAAGCGCCGGCUAACUACGUGCCAG
rnacentral:rRNA from 1 species